rnacentral:rRNA from 1 species
AGCGAACGCUGGCGGCAGGCCUAACACAUGCAAGUCGAACGGACCCUUCGGGGUUAGUGGCGGACGGGUGAGUAACACGUGGGAACGUGCCUUUAGGUUCGGAAUAGCUCCUGGAAACGGGUGGUAAUGCCGAAUGUGCCCUUCGGGGGAAAGAUUUAUCGCCUUUAGAGCGGCCCGCGUCUGAUUAGCUAGUUGGUGAGGUAAUGGCUCACCAAGGCGACGAUCAGUAGCUGGUCUGAGAGGAUGACCAGCCACAUUGGGACUGAGACACGGCCCAAACUCCUACGGGAGGCAGCAGUGGGGAAUCUUGCGCAAUGGGCGAAAGCCUGACGCAGCCAUGCCGCGUGAAUGAUGAAGGUCUUAGGAUUGUAAAAUUCUUUCACCGGGGACGAUAAUGACGGUACCCGGAGAAGAAGCCCCGGCUAACUUCGUGCCAGCCGCCGCCGUAAAAC